rnacentral:rRNA from 1 species
UACAGAGGGUGCGAGCGUUGUCCGGAAUCACUGGGCGUAAAGGGCGCGUAGGUGGCGUCGCAAGUCGAUGGUGAAAGCUCGGCGCUCAACGCCGAGUCGGCCCCUUGAUACUGCGAGGCUGGAGCACUGUAGAGGCUAAUGGAAUUCCGGGGUGUAGCGGUGGAAUGCGUAGAGAUCCGGAAGAACACCGGUGGCGAAGGCGGUUAGCUGGGGCAGUUGCUGACACUGAGGCGCGACAGCGUGGGGGAGCAAACAGG